CGCAGCCCAGUCAAAUUCGGUCCCUGUCCCCCCGUGUCGGGGACCGGCCACCGGCUGCCACAGCAACCUCCGUGCUCCGAGUGCCCCCCGUCCCCUCCCGUGGGACAGGGGGACGGAUCCCCCACGGACACAU
ensembl:snoRNA